rnacentral:rRNA from 1 species
UACAGAGGGUGCAAGCGUUAAUCGGAAUUACUGGGCGUAAAGCGUGCGUAGACGGUAGCGUAAGUCGGGUGUGAAAGCCCCGGGCUCAACCUGGGAAUUGCAUUCGAGACUGCUCUGCUAGGGUGCGGAAGAGGGAAGCGGAAUUUCCGGUGGAGCGGUGAAAUGCGUAGAGAUCGGAAAGAACACCAACGGCGAAAGCACUCUGCUGGGCCGACACUGACACUGAGAGACGAAAGCUAGGGGAGCGAAUGGG